GGCUCAGAUUGAACGCGGGCGGCAUGCUUAACACAUGCAAGUCGAACGGCAGCACGAGGAAGCUUGCUUCCUUGNUGGCGAGUGGCGGACGGGUGAGUAAUGCAUAGGAAUUUGCCUUUCGGUGGGGGAUAACUUGGGGAAACUCAAGCUAAUACCGCAUAAGACCUACGGGUGAAAUCGGGGGAUCGCAAGACCUCGCGCCUGAAAGAUGAGCCUAUGUUGGAUUAGCUAGUUGGUAGGGUAAAGGCCUACCAAGGCGACGAUCCAUAGCUGGUUUGAGAGGAUGAUCAGCCACACUGGGACUGAGACACGGCCCAGACUCCUACGGGAGGCAGCAGUUGGGGAAUAUUGGACAAUGCUGGGGAACCCUGAUCCAGCAAUGCCGCGUGUGUGAACUAGGCCUUCGGGUUGUAAAGCACUUUCAGCAGGGAGGAAGAUGGAACGGUUAAUACCC
rnacentral:rRNA from 1 species